rnacentral:rRNA from 1 species
UACGUAGGGUGCGAGCGUUAAUCGGAAUUACUGGGCGUAAAGCGUGCGCAGGCGGUUGUGCAAGACAGAUGUGAAAUCCCCGGGCUCAACCUGGGAACUGCAUUUGUGACUGCACGGCUGGAGUGCGGCAGAGGGGGAUGGAAUUCCGCGCGUAGCAGUGAAAUGCGUAGAUAUGCGGAGGAACACCGAUGGCGAAGGCAAUCCCCUGGGCCUGCACUGACGCUCAUGCACGAAAGCGUGGGGAGCAAACAGG